rnacentral:rRNA from 1 species
AUUGAACGCUGGCGGCAGGCCUAACACAUGCAAGUCGAGCGGAUGAAGGGAGCUUGCUCCUGGAUUCAGCGGCGGACGGGUGAGUAAUGCCUAGGAAUCUGCCUGGUAGUGGGGGAUAACGUCCGGAAACGGGCGCUAAUACCGCAUACGUCCUGAGGGAGAAAGUGGGGAUCUUCGGACCUCACGCUAUCAGAUGAGCCUAGGUCGGAUUAGCUAGUUGGUGGGGUAAAGGCCUACCAAGGCGACGAUCCGUAACUGGUCUGAGAGGAUGAUCAGUCACACUGGAACUGAGACGCGGUCCAGACUCCUACGGGAGGCAGCAGUGGGGAAUAUUGGACAAUGGGCGAAAGCCUGAUCCAGCCAUGCCGCGUGUGUGAAGAAGGUCUUCGGAUUGUAAAGCACUUUAAGUUGGGAGGAAGGGCAGUAAGUUAAUACCUUGCUGUUUUGACGUUACCAACAGAAUAAGCACCGGCUAACUUCGUG